rnacentral:rRNA from 1 species
CUGGCGGCGUGCCUAAUACAUGCAAGUCGAACGGUCUUUCUAUGGAAGCUUGCUUCCACUGAGAAGAUAGUGGCGAACGGGUGAGUAACACGUGGGUAACCUGCCCAUAAGAGGGGGGAUAACAUCCGGAAACGGGUGCUAAUACCGCAUAGUUUUCUUGAUCGCAUGAUUGAGAAAGGAAAGACGGCCUUUGUGCUGUCGCUUAUGGAUGGACCCGCGGCGUAUUAGUUAGUUGGUGAGGUAACGGCUCACCAAGACGAUGAUACGUAGCCGACCUGAGAGGGUGAUCGGCCACAUUGGGACUGAGACACGGCCCAAACUCCUACGGGAGGCAGCAGUAGGGAAUCUUCCGCAAUGGACGAAAGUCUGACGGAGCAACGCCGCGUGAGUGAAGAAGGGGUUUUCGGAUCGUAAAACUCUGUUGUCAGAGAAGAACAAGUUGGAGAGUAACUGCUCCAGCCUUGACGGUAUCUGACCAGAAAGCCACGGCUAACUACGUGCCAGCCGCAGC